GACGAACGCUGGCGGCGUGCUUAACACAUGCAAGUCGAGCGGUAAGGCCCUUUCGGGGGUACACGAGCGGCGAACGGGUGAGUAACACGUGGGUGACCUGCCCUCAGCUCUGGGAUAAGCCUGGGAAACCGGGUCUAAUACCGGAUAUGACUCCAUGACGCAUGUUGUGGGGUGGAAAGCCUUGUGCGGCUGAGGAUGGGCCCGCGGCCUAUCAGCUUGUUGGUGGGGUGAUGGCCUACCAAGGCGACGACGGGUAGCCGGCCUGAGAGGGCGACCGGCCACACUGAGACUGAGACACGGCCCAGACUCCUACGGGAGGCAGCAGUGGGGAAUCUUGCGCAAUGGGCGAAAGCCUGACGCAACGACGCCGCGUGAGGGAUGACGGCCUCGGUUGUAA
rnacentral:rRNA from 1 species